UCCUACGGGAGGCAGCAGUAGGGAAUCUUCCGCAAUGGACGAAAGUCUGACGGAGCAACGCCGCGUGAGUGAUGAAGGUUUUCGGAUCGUAAAACUCUGUUGUUAGGGAAGAACAAGUUGGGUAGUAACUGACCCAACCUUGACGGUACCUAACCAGAAAGCCACGGCUAACUACGUGCCAGCAGCCGCGGUAAUACGUAGGUGGCAAGCGUUGUCCGGAAUUAUUGGGCGUAAAGCGCUCGCAGGCGGUCUUUUAAGUCUGAUGUGAAAGCCCACGGCUUAACCGUGGAGGGUCAUUGGAAACUGGGAAACUUGAGUGCAGAAGAGGAGAGUGGAAUUCCACGUGUAGCGGUGAAAUGCGUAGAGAUAUGGAGGAACACCAGUGGCGAAGGCGACUUUCUGGUCUGUAACUGACACUGAGGCGCGAAAGCGUGGGGAGCAAACAGGAUUAGAUACCCUGGUAGUCCACGCCGUAAACGAUGAGUGCUAAGUGUCAGAGGGUUUCCGCCCUUUAGUGCUGAAGUUAACGCAUUAAGCACUCCGCCUGGGGAGUACGGCCGCAAGGCUGAAACUCAAAGGAAUUGACGGA
rnacentral:rRNA from 1 species